rnacentral:tRNA from 1 species
CCGGUUCCGGGUGGGCACGGUCGUCCCCGAGCCGUUCCAGGAGGCCGAGGCGGCCACCCCGCUCCGGCCGUUCGAGCGGGCCGAACCGGC